AUGUCCGCCGCCGCCGCGCUCCGUCCAACCGAGCCGUUCCCUCUGCCGAGCGGCCUAUCCCUCGCGCGGCGCCUGAAGCUGCUCCUCUCCUUCUCCCGCGUCGACCUCUCGGUGAGCCCCGUCGACGAGUGGCAGCUCAAGUCCGCGCUCCUCGCCUUCCUCCGCAACCCGCCGCUCUCGCUCUCCCUCCUCCAAGACUCCGACCUGUCCGUCAGCCGCCUCCCGGACCUGCAGAAGCGCCGUCGGGACGAUCCCGUCGCCUCCGGCAUCCUGUACGUCCGCGAUCUCUCCUUCCUCCGCCCAAGCAACCGCACAGGAGACGACGAAGCCGAGAAGAUGACCCCAGAGCAGGAGGAGAAGAAGUACUCACAGUGGCGGAGCUCCCUGGUCGAGAAGCUAGAUGGCAUCGAGCUCAACCUUAAGGGGGUUAUGUACCGGAUGAGUGUCGAGAUCCCCGCCUCAGAUGACUUCACGGAGAUGAAGAAGUCAUGGGAGGAUUUUUACGCCUCCGAGCUCUUUAGUACUAGGAAUCCGGUGAGGAAGAUAGCAAAAAGACCAGACACAAUUCUUGUGAGAGGUGUGCCAUCGAGGUGGUUUGCAGAGACGAGGAUAUCGUCGAAGGCAUCCACAUUGGUCACCCACACUAUCUUCUCAGCUCUUGGUAAAAUAAGGACCUUAAAUAUUUCUAAUGAUGAUGAAUUGGAAGAAAAAAAAGAUGAGACUAAUAAGGGUCUUAUAUCUGGACUCAAUUGUAAGGUGUGGGUGCAAUUUGAGAGUUAUGAUGAUUUCCACAAUGCAAUGAAGGCAUUAUGUGGACGGUCAUUAGAGAAGGAAGGAUCACGGUUGAAAGUGAACUAUGAUGUGACUUGGGACAGGGAAGGUUUCUUCCGUAAUGCACAAUACGAGCCUGCACAUAACAAACUAGAAGAAAGUGAUGCACCGGUACAUGGAAGGAAGAAACAUUACACCUCGCGAAUCGAGUCAGAUCAUAGGAAGAGAUUCAGGGAUUGA
rnacentral:rRNA from 1 species